UAUAUUUUUUUCGGCUAGGCUAAUAAUAUUGUGUAAUAACAUUUUCUUAAAUAUUUGAAAAAAGAAUUUUGAUACUGCCAAUUUUUAUUUCUCAAUUAGAUGGAAAAUAUAUUUGACGAUAUUGACUUGGAGGACUGUCCAACAAUGUCUUCAACUCCCGCAAAAGAGCAAUUACAUUUGAAGCGAAAAAAGUUUAACACAUCUGGUUGCUAGAAUGCAGAGGCAAGCAUUUCAAAACAACCUGUGGAAGGAAACGAGGUUAUUGACAUGUUAACCACUAUUUCUAAACAACUUGACGAUUUGACGACGAGGGUAUGCAAUUUGGAAAAUAAAAUCGAUAAGCAUGUGAAAGAAAAUAUUAUUCAUAAAAGUCGGUAUGCCGAAUGACUGGUGAAGAAGUCGACAACGUUCAAACCGAAAUCGCGUCCACCCUCCCAUUAAAUACGCUUGCUUCAGCUUUGGAAAUGGACGAAAAAUUAAAAUGCGACGAAUUUGCUGCUGCAACGAAACAAUUCGUUUUGCGACUAAAAGGUACUUCAGAUAGUGUACAUGAUGUGUUGCGUGGUCUGUACACUGAUGAACUUGUUUAUUUAUGUAACUGGGACGGUAGGGGUGGGGAGCAACCUCUCUCCAAAUUCCUGCUAGUUUCCAACAUUUUAUACGGUAAAUUCUGUUUUUUUUUUUUAAUUUAAUUUUACUUUAAAUGUUUUGUUUUAAUUUGUACUUAUCAUUAUGUUUUUUUUAGAUUCAUUUAUAACUUAUGGAAUGGCAACAUUCGAAAAACAAGUUCGAAAAGCCAUUGGAAUUAGCCACCAUAGACAAACAAAGAAUUUAUAGAAAGAGAAAAACUGAGGAGUGAAUCAUAAUUUAUUAUUUAACAAUAAGUUAUAUGUAUCUAUUAUAUUACUAAACAUAAUUUUUUUAAUACACUAAAUUUUAAAUUUAAAGCAAUGUGAAGUAUGAAUUGAAUUCAA